CAAAUUGCGCCGCUCCAACCCAACCCCGCCUUGGGAGGCGAUAAUGAUGCUGCCUCCCCUCAUUGAGGCUUUUUUUUUUCGAACCCUCAUUGCGGCUUCGAAUCCACUCGCGUCACCGUCGUUGUUCCUCCCGUGCAUCGUGUAAGAGCUUCUCAGCGAGAUCCCCUUUUCAAGCUAGCUCCAAGUUGACGGAAUGAGGCUGCUAGCAGGUGGAGCAGUAUGACUUCGCACAAUUCUAGAUCGAAGCGGAGAGUCCCUGCCUUCAAUCGCCAUCAGUAAAGGCCUAAAUCCCUCGUAGAUGCGACCAAGUUCCAGUCUCAACGGUGACCUCAAAUCCAUUACCCUGCAUCGGCUGACGGCAUCCGUCCUCCGGGAGCAUCAUUGCUGUGUCGCAGGGGCCGUCGUUCUUUGGUGUAAUGGUGGCCCGUCGCAAGAUCCUACGAUGUAGAAUGAAGGAUUAAUGGAACAGAUAACCUUCAUGUACCAUGCUGCACAGAUUUUAGGUACCAACUAAAUUUUUGAACGCUUGAUUGCUCUUACAGUAAAUUAACAGGAUGCAUAGUACAUAGUUCUCGUAAUUUAGUUGACCUUCAUUGAUGCUACACUGUGGUCAAUUAACCAUAUAAUAUACUACUUUUUUUAAUUAUGUCGAUAGCACCAGGGAUCUCCAAGUAGAGCAAAAAGGUAUAUUGCAGUUAGCAUGUCACUAGGAUUUGUCCAAUUCCUUCUCUCUCUUUUUUUGUGUGUGGCGGAACUAUGCAAUAAUCUUUUAACAUAGUCAUGAGAUAUACUAGAAAUCCACUUCUAUAAUAUCUUCCAUCAUUAGCUGUCGCACAGUAAAUUUGCACAUGUAACUGAGAUGUGAAGCUUGGUUUCCUGUUUUAUGACCUGUAUUAGUCACAGAUUUUGUUAGAGUUGUUUAUAAUAUGUGUGGGCCUUUCUGCAGCUAAAUAAAAAUUUUCUAAUUUAUCUCAUUUGAUGCUCCGGGCAUGGCUGUUGCCAUCUUGCCAUCUGUGCGCCGUUCUGAAUGGGCAUUCCUAGACCAGCGGAGACAAAGAUUCUAAGUUUUCAAGUGAUGAGGCCUUUCUGUCGAGUUCUGUGCAAGAUGAGCCCACCUACGAGCAGCCAACGGGGGAAUUGUGCAUUGAUCUGAGUUCAAAACCAGCUGCCACUGAAUGAGAGAAGCUCUAAAUGAUUAUCUCAAAUUCCGGAUGUAAAUGUAUAUUGUUAAUGUUUGUAUUCGGCUAGAAAAAGCUAAUGUCCAUUAGUGUGCGAUGUUUCUAAAUUAUUGUACAAUAUACUUGAACCUCGUUGUUCCUAUUUGUAUCUCGAAAAAUUUAAUGUAUUAUGGUAAUCCACCAUAUCUAUACUGUAAACUCUGGAUUAGUGCGUCCAGUAGACAAAAACAAAGUUAUGACUUAUGUGGAUCACUAUGUUAUUGGCAAGCUAUA